rnacentral:misc_RNA from 1 species
GAUGAAGAACGUAGCGAAAUGCGAUAAGUAAUGUGAAUUGCAGAAUUCAGUGAAUCAUCGAAUCUUUGAACGCACAUUGCGCCCGCCAGUAUUCUGGCGGGCAUGCCUGUUCGAGCGUCAUUUCAACCAUCAAGCCCCCGGCUUGUGUUGGGGACCUGCGGCUGCCGCAGGCCCUGAAAAGCAGUGGCGGGCUCGCUGUCACACCGAGCGUAGUAGCAUACAUCUCGCUCUGGGCGUGCUGCGGGUUCCGGCCGUUAAACCACCUUCAUAACCCAAGGUUGACCUCGGAUCAGGUAGGAAGACCCGCUGAACUUAAGCAUAUCAAUAAGCGGAGGA